rnacentral:tRNA from 1 species
UUCAACUCCUCUUCUUAAC